rnacentral:rRNA from 1 species
CCCCGGUAAACGGCGGCCGUAACUAUAACGGUCCUAAGGUAGCGAAAUUCCUUGUCGGGUAAGUUCCGACCUGCACGAAUGGCGUAAUGAUGGCCAGGCUGUCUCCACCCGAGACUCAGUGAAAUUGAACUCGCUGUGAAGAUGCAGUGUACCCGCGGCAAGACGGAAAGACCCCGUGAACCUUUACUAUAGCUUGACACUGAACAUUGAGCCUUGAUGUGUAGGAUAGGUGGGAGGCUUUGAAGUGUGGACGCCAGUCUGCAUGGAGCCGACCUUGAAAUACCACCCUUUAAUGUUUGAUGUUCUAACGUGGACCCGUAAUCCGGGUUGCGGACAGUGUCUGGUGGGUAGUUUGACUGGGGCGGUCUCCUCCUAAAGAGUAACGGAGGAGCACGAAGGUUGGCUAAUCCUGGUCGGACAUCAGGAGGUUAGUGCAAUGGCAUAAGCCAGCUUGACUGCGAGCGUGACGGCGCGAGCAGGUGCGAAAGCAGGUCAUAGUGAUCCGGUGGUUCUGAAUGGAAGGGCCAUCGCUCAACGGAUAAAAGGUACUCCGGGGAUAACAGGCUGAUACCGCCCAAGAGUUCAUAUCGACGGCGGUGUUUGGCACCUCGAUGUCGGCUCAUCACAUCCUGGGGCUGAAGUAGGUCCCAAGGGUAUGGCUGUUCGCCAUUUAAAGUGGUACGCGAGCUGGGUUUAGAACGUCGUGAGACAGUUCGGUCCCUAUCUGCCGUGGGCGCUGGAGAACUGAGGGGGGCUGCUCCUAGUACGAGAGGACCGGAGUGGACGCAUCACUGGUGUUCGGGUUGUCAUGCCAAUGGCACUGCCCGGUAGCUAAAUGCGGAAGAGAUAAGUGCUGAAAGCAUCUAAGCACGAAACUUGCCCCGAGAUGAGUUCUCCCUGAGACUUAGAGUCUCCUGAAGGAACGUUGAAGACGACGACGUUGAUAGGCCGGGUGUGUAAGCGCAGCGAUGCGUUGAGCUAACCGGUACUAAUGAA